UUUGAUUCACACCUUUCCUUAAUAUAUCUUUAUUGCUUUAAUUUUUCAAUACAGAACAGCUUACAUUUCUGAUUCUGAAGCGCCGUAAUACCAGAAGGGAGGGAGCAGUGUAGCUAACGUUGAAGGUUCUGAUCCAGGUCCUUUCAUGGGGUCAGUUCUGGUGUGGCCGUAGCAGCGACGCAAAGUUCCCUUUCACAACGGGUCAGAACGUCAGACAGUGACACAGACAGCCACUUUAAUUGUUUUUUUACAGAGUCACGACUUGAUUUCCUCUUCAAAACGAGAGAGGAUAAUAUGGUCAAGGGUGACAGAAAUUUGAAGUGAGGGAUAAAAAUGAAGAAUGAAAAGGAGACAAACAAAAAGGAAAAACACCUUGUUUAUGGGUUGAUGAAAAUAGUCUGGACUACGCUUUCAACCACGGGGAUUUGAGCACAAGUUCAUUUUCUCUGUUCUCCUGAUUUGAGUUCACAAUCAAGUGCUAAAUGUAGUGAUUGACAGUUAAGCAUUACAAAUAAAAUCAUGACUUGGAAGAACUUCUUGCAACUCAGGAAAAUGAAGUGUUGAAUAUGCAUUUUAUAAAGACCCUGAGAGCGAGAGAAAAAAGAAAUUAUCCUUAAUUGAACAAAAAGUUUACAUGCAAAACUAGCCUAAAACUCACCCAUUAUACACAAUUAAUUUCACAGUUUUAUACAUAUUUAUAUAUCUGAGAAAAAAUAUAUAUUUUCUUAGCCAAACUAAAAAAAAAAAACGUUUUUUUUUUUUAAUAAUAGAUCCACACAGUCUAUAAAACACGUACAAUGGUGUACAUAAAGCUUUAGAAUCAAUAGUGAUUAUUGCUAAUAGAAGUUCCAGGCCGAUGCUGGGCGACCAUUUUGUGGAUUUGAAUCCGUUAUUCUCUGCAGCAUCAAUGUGGUAAUCAUAAAUGGCUUCUCCUCAAGUCACAUCUCUUCACCCCUCACUGGGUUUCCAAAUAAAUAGAAUAAAAACAGUCCAUGUGCAUUCUUAUGGGACUCAUAAUCACACACCCACACAGGGACAAAUGAGAGAAGUGGAGUCCCUUGACAGUGUUUUUGAGGACAGGAUUGCAUUUUGCAUUCUAGUCUGCCAAUACUUUCCCAGUGCCUGAGAGCAGGGUUGGGAUGGGGAAGAUACCGGGGUACGGCCACUAAAGGGCAGUCUUCUGCAUGGAGUAGCAGCUUCGCCACCUGUUAACACCCCCCACUUAAUACUCUGUGUUACGUUCAAGUUCUAAACACAGCUCAGAAAUUCACUUCGGUUCAUUCUCUCUCUGAUUGCUUAGCCGUUUAUUGUCGUAGUAGUAGUAGGUUUGUUUGUAUGUUGUUAGUGCCAGAUGGGCAGUUGUCCGGCGGCGGCUGACUAGUCCAGUGCUCUCUGCUCUGUGGCUGUCUGUCAGCCUCCAGCCAGCCGAUGCUGCCUGCGUCUUACAGUUCAUAUGUGCGCCAUGAGGUUUCAUAUGUUUGCUUUAUAUAAAAUGAGAAGAAAAAAAGGAAAUACAUUUCUACAAAAUUCAGCCCUGCAAGGUGGCAUGAUUGACAUUUGAGUCCCACCUCAGAAAUAUACUCUUGGGCCAAGGGGGCGGUGGAAGGGGGGCGAGGUGGGUGAUAAAAGGGGGGAGAUGAGGUGGGUGAGGUGGGUGGUGGAAAGGGGGGGUGAGGUGGGUGGUGGAAAGGGGAGUAAGGUGGGUGGUGGAAGGGGGGUGAGGUGGGUGGUGGAAGGGGGG
rnacentral:lncRNA from 1 species